GAGAGCUCAGCGUGGACGGAAACUACACGUCGAGUAAAAAGGUAAAAGCUCACUCGAUUUCGAUUUUCAGUACGAAUACGGACCGCAAAAGCCU
rnacentral:ncRNA from 1 species